rnacentral:snRNA from 1 species
GUGCUCGCUUUGGCAGCACAUAUACUAAAAUUGGAACGAUACAGAGAAGAUUAGCAUGGCCCCUGUGCAAGGAUGACAUGCAAAUUCAAGAAGCGUUGCAUUUUUAU